AACGAACGCUGGCGGCAUGCCUAACACAUGCAAGUCGAACGAGACCUUCGGGUCUAGUGGCGCACGGGUGCGUAACGCGUGGGAACCUGCCCUUAGGUUCGGAAUAACUCCCCGAAAGGGGUGCUAAUACCGGGUAAUGUCUUCGGACCAAAGAUUUAUCGCCUUUGGAUGGGCCCGCGUUGGAUUAGCUAGUUGGUAGGGUAAAAGCCUACCAAGGCGACGAUCCAUAGCUGGUCGGAGAGGAUGAUCAGCCACACUGGGACUGUGACAUGGCCCAGACUCCGAGGGGAGGCAGCAGUGGGGAAUAUUGGACGAGGGGCGAAAGCCUGACCCAGCAAUGCCGCGUGAGUGAUGAAGGCCUUAGGGUAGUGAAGCUCUUUUACACGAGAUGAUAAUGACAGUACCGGGAGAAGAAGCUCCGGCUAACUCCGUG
rnacentral:rRNA from 1 species